rnacentral:lncRNA from 1 species
ACAGUUUUGAAUUCGAUUUUUAUGGUUUUUGAGAAUUUUAGUUUGGUUUUCUGUUUGGUGAGUUAGAUGAUGCUAUGUUGAUUAUCAUUUUGAUUGGAGGGUUUUUGUUAUUUCUUUUAAUUCCGCUGAAUCUUAGAUAUGUGGAUUAAAUAAACAUCAGAUGUGAAAUUGUGAUUCUGAUUAGCUUAUUGUCUUGUUGAUGAAUCUGAUCAUCCUUAUUCUGGAUCUCGUGUUUUAUUUAAGUUUUGAACUUUUUUCCUGAAUUUGAUUGACUUAAAGCUUAGAUUUUGAUGUUUUGAAGGGAUUGAUUUCUCUUUCAGCUUAGAUUUUGAGUUUAUGAUUUUGGAUUUGAUAUGAAUUAAGGAUUUUAUGCAAAAAAAAGUUGUUGUUGUCUUGUGUUAACUUAUCUUCUUUUUCUAGAGAUUGUUCUUUGAAUCAUUAGAUAGUGAAAGAGGCAUGAAUGUUGUGUGGCAUUGUUUAUGGACAAGCAAGAGAUCUUCUUGCCUUGUGGAUUUGUUUGCUUAUUUAGAGACAAAACUGAAUAUCCCACUAGUUCCAAACUUUGGUUGUAUCAUUUUCUCACCUAAUUACAUGGAUAAUAAAGUUGAUAGGAACUUUAAGAAACUUUCUUCUGGUUUGGUUUUGGUAAUCUUUUUGACUUGUGGUGUAUAUUGUUUGCUGAAAAAUGGAAAUAUGAUUAGUUUGGGAUAAUUGUACAAACCAUUAUCCUGAUACUUGAUAAAAAGUUAACUACUCACUCGUAUUUACUCGCUUUUCUUCUUCUUCUUCUGUGUUUGCUCGAACCUAUGACUUGCUUUGCUUACAAUAAAGAAAGGUUAUGCCUUUAUCAGUUCUUUAAUCGGAUGUUGUUCUUCUUUUUUCAUUAGUUUAGAGUUUAGUGUGAAUAUCCACAGUGAAUUUAAUAUAAUUGGCACGAAGGGUUACACAUUGAGUUUGAGGUUGAGCUUGCUUCUUGAUAUCUUUGGUUUGACUAUUUGGUUUUUAUAUGAACAACAGGACAAAGGUCGUCCCUUGCCGAAAUUUGGUGAAUGGGAUGUGAAUGAUCCAGCAUCAGCAGAGGGUUUCACAGUGAUAUUCAACAAAGCUAGGGAUGAGAAAAAGACUGGUGGCAAACCCGGAUCACCCGGUAAAUCCACCGAGGGUCAUGUUAAGUCUGGAGGAGGAGAUCCUAGUAAACCUCAGCCGGUAAGUUUCUUCUUCCUCUUCAAUUUCAUUUUCAUCUUUAUCUCCUUAACUUGGAGUAUUGAUCCAGUGUCACACAAAAUGGACUCUUUCUUUGGUUUCAGAAAAAAUGGCUCUGCUGCAUGCAGUCUCCAGCUGUGGACUCUUGACAGACACAACAAAGAUGGAUUUGGUUGCUGCCCCAAAAACAAAGUCACACUGCUUACACAUCUAAAGCAAUGUUCUUUUAUGUUUUAUUGUCUUUCUUGAAAUUACCCACACAAAAAAAAAAAAUGGUUCCUAAGAUGAUUUGGAGCUUCCCCCUUUUAGUAUCACGAUUAUGAUUCCUUCUUCUUUGAAGUCGUUUGUUCUUAUAAAAAUGCUGUAAAAUCGUGUUGCAACUUUAUUGGAAAACCAGAAAAGAAAAAAGAAAAAAAAAAACACAGUUACUGUGUCUAUAUGUAAUGGUGUCUUUGGUUUUAAGUUUUAUGGUGUUUUUUUCCCUUGAUUUUUUAGUAUAUUAUGUGGUGCUCCAUUUUUUUGUUUUUCCUCUUUAGUAAAUCAAAAAGUUACAUCAUUACAUUUUACCAUGUACCGACGUACGUAGAAAAGAUAUAUAAGAACGUAAAGUAAAAAACUAGUCAACCUAAAAGUGAAAACACAUCAUAUAUGAAGAAAAACUGAAACCAAAGUCAACAAUAAUUAAAUAGAUGAUGGAAAACAAAAGUCAUGAAUUUAAGAACACGAUAGAUAUUUAUAAUAUUUGGACAAAAAAAAAGAAAGAAAGAUAAUUAUAAUAUUUAAUUUAAAGAAAAUAAUGAAAACAAACAAGAACUUGAUACACACAAUAAUAAGCAUACAAAACACAAACAUGACACACUGAAGUUGGGAAUCUUGAUAGGCUUAUUUACUAAACCCAUACUAGAUUAUAGCUAAAGUCCUUAAUCUAGUGGAGAUAGUUCAGUGAACUUGUGAAUCUGAAACCAAUAAUGUAAACGUUUUGUAUGAAGUGUAGAUAUUAUAUCGCUUUCUGGAAUUAAAAAUUUGAUUUUAGUUUCUUUCUCAGUCAAAAAAAUUACAAAAAACAAAAGAAAGAAAUCGGAAAGGGUGCAUCAAAAGUUUGUGAUGAUCGUAAGUCGUAAGUCGUAACUAUCAACUGUGUUGUUGAUGAAACUCAUCAAUUCCCACGGUAAACAAAGUGAUCAGCAACGGAAAACUAAAAGAUUCAUAUUUAAUCAGUCAAAGUUCUUCUCUUAGUGUGUGUAUAUAUAUAUAUAUAUGUAUUGCAUGUAACUUAAUUAUAUCAGAGUUUAGAGCAAUCCAACCGUCGGAAGAGAAAGUGAAAAUGUCGGCGGCUGAGAAGAAACCGUUUGUGCCGUCGUCUCAUAUCUCCGUCAAGAUCAAAAGCCAGGUACUUAGUUAGAAUGAAUAUCUUGCAUGCUAUGGUUGCUUUGAAAAUUGAUUAACCGCUCUAGCUAGAGCCAUUUAAAAAAGAUUAACAAGUAACCAAACAGGACGACAUAUGUGUGUACUUCCGGAUUAAGAGGGACGUUGAGCUCCGUACGAUGAUGCAAGCUUAUUCCGACAAAGUUGGACAAGAUAUGUCAGUUUUUAGGUUCCUCUUCGAUGGAAUUAGGAUCAAACCCAGUCAAACUCCCAACGAGGUAUAUACAGUAUUUGCUAUCUAUUCAUUAUUAUAUACUGGUUAAUAAGAAUUACUCCCAAUUAUAUAUGAAUCAAAGAAAGUGAUUAUAUUGCAGCUAGAGCUUGAAGACGGAGAUGAAAUCGACGCAUUAGUUGAACAAAUGGCAGGAUUUGGCCAUUGUCAUCAUCGCCAUUAAGAGAGUAUAUUAACGAAAUAACGAAAUCGAUGCGUUGUUUAAUUAUGUUUUCACCUAAUUUUUCAAUACAAAAGUUGGUAUUUUUUUUUAAUUUAUCAAAAUGUUAACAACUAUUACAAGGUUAGGGAUGAACAUGGCCUCUUUGGUUAUCUUAUAAGUUAAUUGAAGGAAGUUUAAUAAUUACAACAACGAAGACAGAGAGAGAGAGAGAGAUUUUUCUAUACAUGUUUGGUAAUAAAUGUGAUAAAUAUACACACACAAGUACAAUAACAAAUCAUUGUCAAUAUGAUCAUCAUCAUCCUUGGAGGGAAGCCUUGGCCCAUUUUUUGAAUAGUCAGUCAAGAGCUCUAUACACAUAGCAAAAUGAAUGAAUAAUUUGGUCUAUCUUUUUAGCCUUACAUGUCGUCUAGUUCACGUGCCAAAUAGUUUUCAUUUUUUUGCCCAUAUCAAUCAAUCUCCCAUUUAAUUUUUCUGAAUUUUGCAUAAAGUUUCUCAUUAUUAUGUGGGAUAUAGGCCAGAUAUAUCAUAUUAGUUAAUUAUGCUACAUACUUAAUUUCUCACCUUUAACUUGAUAAUAAUCUUUAGUAUACAUUUUGCAUGGAUUCUUUAUUAUUGACAAAUUAUGCUAUCAUUUAAAGUAAAAAGAAGAUUUAAAAAGUUAUAUUUACACACCGUCCAAAAAAAUAUAAGAAUUGAUGUCACAAAUAAAAUUAAAAAAUAAAUCAAACAAUUAGGUUUACCGAUGACCAAUAAAAAGCUGCCAUUUGUCAACCAAAUACACUUCUCUCUCUCCUCUCUGUCUCUCCCUUUUUUUCUUUCUCUCUCCUCGCCACUGACUUUGCUCUUCUUCUCUGAUUUACAGAAGAAAUUUCAAAACUUCAUCUCCUUCAAAGCUCAAAUCUUUUUUUCCCCCCUUUUCGAUUUGUAUUCAUCGCCGUCGAGACCGGAGAUAUCUUUUUCUGAUUGACGUUUUCUUUUUUCCUCCGAUCGUCUUUUCUCUCCCUGAGAAAGAAAAAAUAAAAAUCGCUCCUUUUAAGAUUAUUUCCUUGGCGCGGUUUCGAUUUCACGUUUCUGGGUUUUCGUUUUCGACUCUGAAAAACGAUAAAUUUCAAACCGGAAAGAUCAGGUUCGAAAUCGAAAAUUUUUGGUCACCCAUCGCUUGUUUUGACGAUUACUCCGUCGGUGGAAGAGAAGCUUAUAUAUUCUCGUUUCGCCUCUUUGAUUUAUAGAAUCUAUCCCUAAUCUUGUUGAUUGUGUUUAAGCUGAUCAAAUUAAAAGUACUAUCUUUGGUCUUGGUUUAGUUAAUCUUUUCCUUAAUAACCUGCUCUUAGGGUUUGGUUUAUUCCGUGUAUGUGUGUGUGUGCUUACUGUUUGAUAUUACUUAAUUUGGUUAAUCUUAUAUUAAUGGAUUCAUUAGUAAUUGGAAACAAAAUGAUUUUGAACUCUAUCUCUGUGUGUGUAUGUCUCCUGUAUCAGGUAGUGAAUCUUGAUUUUAUAGUCUAUUAAAGAAAGAAGAUGCAAAAUGGUUGCUAAGAAGGGACGUAGAGAUUCUUCUGAUUCCUCUCCGGUUGUGGAGGUUGGAGAGAUUGACACAAGUGCUCCUUUUCAAUCUGUUAAAGAUGCGGUUAACCUUUUCGGUGAAGCUGCUUUCUCUGCUGAGAAAGAGAAACCGGCUAUUCGGAAACCUAGUCCUCAAUCUGCUGAGGUAAUUUUGAUUUGAUUCAUUAGCCGUUUGUGUUAAGAGGUUUUCUAAUCUGAAUUGUGUUUGUGGUUGGUUUGCAGAAAAUUUUGGUGAAACAAACAGAGCUACACUUGGCUCAGAAAGAGUUGAAUAAGUUGAAGGAACAGGUUAAGAAUGCAGAAACUGUCAGAGAGCAAGCGUUGAAUGAGCUUGAAUGGGCUAAAAGAACUGUUGAUGAACUUACUCGUAAGCUUGAAGCGGUUAAUGAGUCAAGAGAUUCUGCAAAUAAAGCGACUGAAGCUGCUAAGAGUCAAAUCAAAGAAGCGAAACCGGGUAAUGUUUCUGUGUCUAGUAGUAGUGAUGCUCAGAUUCAGGAUAUGGAACAGUAUGAAGCGGUAUGUAAGGAACUUGAUACGGCAAAGCAAGAGCUGAGAAAAAUCCGUCAGGUUUCAAAUGAGAUUUUGGAAACAAAGACUGUUGCUUUAAGUAAAGUAGAGGAAGCUAAGGAAGUGACUAAAGUUCAUUCUGAGAAGAUUGAGUUGCUAAAAAAUGAAAUCGCAGCUGUUAAUGAAUCAGUUGAACAGACGAAGCUUGCAUCUUCUCAAGCCCGGAAAGAACAAUCUAAGAUAUUUGCAGAGAAGGAGAUUCAGCAGCACUCGUAUAAAGCUGGCAUGGAAGAAUCUGCCAAGAAAUCACUCGCUUUGAAGAACGAGUUUGACCCUGAAUUUG